UGGUGGCGAGUGGCGAACGGGUGAGUAAUGCAUCGGAACGUGCCCAUCGAUGGGGGAUAACUGCGCGAAAGCGUUGCUAAUACCGCAUACGACCUACGGGUGAAAGCAGGGGACCGCAAGGCCUUGCGUCGAUGGAGCGGCCGAUGCCGGAUUAGCUAGUUGGUGAGGUAAAGGCUCACCAAGGCGACGAUCCGUAGCUGGUCUGAGAGGACGACCCAGCCACACUGGGACUGAGACACGGCCCAGACUCCUACGGGAGGCAGCAGUGGGGAAUCUUGGACAAUGGGCGAAAGCCUGAUCCAGCAAUGCCGCGUGUGGGAAGAAGGCCUUCGGGUUGUAAACCACUUUUGGCGGGAAAGAAAUGGUCUGUGCUAAUACCACGGAUUGAUGACGGUACCCGCAGAAUAAGCACCGGCUAACUACGUG
rnacentral:rRNA from 1 species